AUGAUGAAUAAAGUUAAAUACGCUGUGUUUCCAGCAAACUGGCAACCCAGGUGCUGAAAUACAAUUGAGUAAACUACCAGUAAGCAGGUUUCACAAACCAAAACAAAGAUUGAAAUUCCGGCCCGGAAUGCACAUUUUUUAAGGAGAAUUGUAGCAUUGUUUUUCAGAUAAACAAGUAUAUUAACUUAGCAUGUUUCUUAAAUAUCUGCAAACAUAUUAUGGUAUUUUUAUGCUUUCGUAGAGUCAAAAUGUUACAUACAGCACCUUUAAAUUAACCAAUAUUUCUUUGUAACGUUAGUCUUAAAAAUCGGAAGACAAAUAGCAUUUAAAGCAAUGGAUUUCCUGUUGAACUUUCGGUGGUGGGUUAUAAGGUCUGUGGUUUCGUUCUACAACUUAAAAGGCGCACAGUCAUACCUAAAACAGAUGUGCUGUGUUUUCUAAAGAAGGCCUACAACCAAACACGUAAAUUUAGAUAGGUGUGGUAGAUGUAGUCUUUAUUUAGUUGGCCUACAAAUUGACAUCACGGCAGUGUCACGUGACACAGAUUUCAUUCGCACGCGUGGUGGUUCCUCCAGCAGCAGCGUUCGUCAACUAGAGCUGUGGCCGAACGGAGGUGAACAUGGCCAAUGUGUCGGAGAGGACGUUACAGGUCGCUUUAGUUGUUUCGUUUGCGGCUGGUUUUAUCGCCGGCUGGCAGGCAAACAGAAUGCGAAGAAGGUUCUUGGACUGGCGAAAAAAGAGGUUACAAGACAAGCUCGCAGAAACACAGAAGAAGCUAGACCUGUCAUGACACAUACAAAAUAUCAUGAAGCCGACCUGUGCCUCGGUCAUCGGUCAAUACUUUAGUAUUCCUGACUUCACAAACAGAAUGAGGAGUCUAUCAGCACCUCUCCAGCUCUCAACAGGAUCAGGCGUUCAACCUUGGAUCAAAGACACGAUCUACAGGCUGGAAUGGAUGCUUUGGUGCAGCAGGCUGAUAAACCAGAUGCGUCAAGACAGGACAGAGACCUUGGAGAGAAAGGAGAGGUUUUAAAAGUUCUCUAUAAAAAUAAGGAUGGAUGGUGGCUGGCUAAAAACUCAAAAGGCCAGAAGGGCCUGGUACCCAAAACCUUCCUGAAGAUGGCUUCUCUGCAUGAUAGUGAGAGAGAGAGAAUGAGGAUGUGGGGGAGAAUGAAGAAGAAGAGAAGGAGUCUGACAUAA
ensembl:lncRNA